GAUGAACGCUGGCGGCGUGGAUUAGGCAUGCAAGUCGAACGGUAUCAUCCUUUCGGGGGUGAGAGAGUGGCGAACUGGUGAGUAACACGUAGGUUAUCUACCCUCAAGACGGGGACAACCCAGGGAAACUUGGGCUAAUACCGGAUGUGAGCAACUUUUAGUUGUUUGAAAGGUGGCGUAAGCUGUCGCUUGGGGAUGAGCCUGCGUCCUAUUAGUUAGUUGGUGAGGUAACGGCUCACCUAGGCAAUGAUAGGUAGGCGGCCUUAACGGGUGGUCGCCCACACUGGGAUUGAGAUACGGCCCAGACUCCUACGGGAGGCAGCAGUCGAGAAUAGUCUACAAUGGUCGGAAGACUGAUAGUGCGACGCCGCGUGAACGAUGAAUCCCUUCGGGUGUAAAGUUCUUUUAUAUGUGAGCAGUGCUUCUUAUAUUAACAGUAUGGGGAGAGAGAUAUUAGCAUAAUGAAUAAGCAACGGCUAACUCCGUGCCAGCAGCCGCGGU
rnacentral:rRNA from 1 species